rnacentral:lncRNA from 1 species
CUGCGGAGGAGUUGGCGCCGGGCACCCGGAGCCGCAGCCAACAACAGCAAAUGGUGGCGGCGAGGAGGAAGCCUGCGGUGCUGCAGCCCCCUCUAGGGUAACAUUCACGAGCUCGAGAAGAAAGCGAAUGCAAGAGGGCAGUGCGGGAAGGGACACGCUUGAAACCCGAGCAAGGGGAUGGGGCCGGAGAGAGGAGGAAGCCAGCCUUGGUUCCAAAAUACUGCCGUCAGGUCCUGCUGACACCAAAGCAAAAACAUCCCUGGCCACCCGAGGGGCUGGGAGGCCGCCUUCAGCUGUCCGUGGGGGUGGCUGCCCUGACGGUGUUGGGUUCCUAGCAAAAGAUCAAAAGGCGAGCUCCCUACUCUGAAAGCAAAACUGGCCUGUGUUUUCCAGAGAGGAGCUCCAUUUUCACCAGAAGUUAUUUUUCAAAAAUAACAAGUUCUGUUGAUAGUCUUUCUCUCCCUCUAUUUCUCUUAUCAUUCCUAUCCUUUUUUUUUUUCUCCAUCUCUCCCCCUCCUUUCUCUUCCUAUGAUUAAGACUAGAAACGUGCAGUAAAUGCUUUCAGGUCACAUAACGCCAAUGAAGAGACUUUAGAUUCUGCUUGAUGUUAUCUGGCCUGAUGCAGAGAAUAAACAAAACCCAGCAUACCACCAUCAAGCACGCGUUAACAAAAGUUCCCUGGCUCCUCACUGACUCAAGAGUGACCUUGAUCCUCUCCUUCCCGUUCCAGCAGGCAGCAACAGCAGCGGGCAUUAGCAGACAGGGGUGUAUAAGUGCCCGGGGAAUGGCGCCUGGUCUUGGCACUGCGAGUGUAUCAGUGUUAACAGCUGGGGGCAUAAGUCAUGCUUAAUCAGGAUUUAGUGGCAACUUUCAGUCUCAGAUUAGCCCAGCUAGCAGGCAGGGGCUGUGUUCUUGCCAAAGCUGGGAAGCUCAAAAGGUCAUGUGAUCUCCUGGGGUUAAUACUGGUAUUUAAUGAAAUGCCUUGCUUAUCACUGUUCUGGGUCAAGAGCUUUGUUUGUCACUGAGAAGAAAUCACUGCCAAAUAUAAUAUGAUCUAGUAUUGUGGGUAGCUUUCUUUAACUCUCAAAAGUUAUCUCUGUAACUCAGACCCUAGAAAGCCAGUUAGCUAGAAGCAAGUUCAAAAAGAAUUCAGAAAGGGAGGUGGUGGGGGUGGUUAGGAAGGCAGGUCAGUAGACAACUUCUGUGACAUCCUAAGGAGUUCAGACUUGGCCCUGUAGCAGUGAGAAGGCAGUUAAGGAUUUUAAGCAUUGUGCAAAACAGAGUAAUAGACUGCAGUCUGUCAUGACUAGAAGAAGGGGUCUCAUUGGAAGAAACUGGAGGGACAAAUCAGACUCUGAACAAAACUAGCAGCACUGGGGAUGGAGCAAAGGGAUUGAAUACAAGAUAUAUGAAUGAUGUAAAAUUUACAGGCCAUGGUGACUAUUUGGACACGGGACAUGGAGAGAAGACUGCUCUGGCAGCCUAGGGAGCUGUUGGUUAUCUUUAGGGAUGGGAAGACAUACAAGAAAGCAACCAGUUACUGGAUUAUAUGAGGAAGGCUGUGACAGAGGCCAUACCGGAUGCUGCAGGAACACAGAAAAAGAAGGAUCUACGCCCUUUGAUGAAUUCCCAGGAAGCCUUCCCAGAUGUGUCAGUGGGCUCUUGAAGGGUGCUCAUCUACUGGAAAGGCUUCAACUUUCACCUUUGCUGAUGACGUUCCAGUCCCAGUCUGCCCAAUCUGAAUUCUUCCUCAGCCUCUGCUUAGCUUCCUAUCCUCCGUUCCUUCUCCUAUGAUCUAGGCAGACAUUGAGGAUUAUGCCUGGCACAUUUUCUCAGAGGGCCAAGGCACAGCCUUAAUUUUCUACUCAACUGGGAGCUCUAGGCACCCAUUACCAUUCAGAGUUGGCAUUCGAGACAAAAACUAUUUUUUUCCUGAAUCUAGUCCUUUUAAUUUUAAGCACCUUAAGGAAUAUACCUUUUAAAGUGUCUUGAAGGAUUUCAUUCCCCCAUUCAUUCAGCAAACUGUAAAGAGCUUCCCAUGUGCUGCCUGUUGAAUGCAACAUCCUCCCUCUCAAACCCUCUCCUGCUCAACAGGUCCCCUGCUAUCAAUGAUACCAGCAAUAGCACUGAAAGAAUAAAUAUACACCAGAUAACACAGGUGAGUGGGCACAGCUCUCCAUGCCACCCUAGUUCCUCACAAAGGCAUGCCCAAUAUUUGGAGGUACUGACAGCCUUAGAGGAAGGAGAAAUCCACCAGGUCAGAAAAAUUCUGAGCUGUAGGCUUGCUGCCUUUCUUACCUACAUUUGAGGAAAGGCCAGGUUAGCAUCCAAGAGUCCACCCUAUCACCAUAUAAAGAAUUCCAUGCCAGACACAUAUACUUCUAUUUCCUAAUGCUGGUCCUGGGUCUACAGUGGUCUUAUUAUAAUCAGUAGACCAUUCUAGUUCAAGCCCUUAUCCCCUCCUAUAUGGAUAACUGUAACAGACUCUCCUCUCCAGUUCAUCCUAUAAAUGCCAUAGCCAAACUCUACCCCAAUUUUAACUCCUAGUAAUUACUGAUUUGUUCUAUAGGUUGGUGCAACAGUAAUUGCGGUUUUCACCAUUAAAAGUAAUGGCGAAAGUAAUGCUUAGCCUCCUAUUUGGCGAAACUGUAAUGGUGAAAACUGUAAUUACUGUUGCAUCAACCUAAUACAACACUGCAAUUUUGUUUUUUAAGAAUUUCAAAUAGGCCAGGCACGGUGGCUCACACCUGUAAUCCCAGCACUUUGG